UGCUCUGACAGGUAGUGUGUUGUAUGUAUUGAGAUAAUCCUGACAGAUCACCAUAGGAAAGGUGAUCAUUUUGUGCAUGCAUCAUGCCAAAAUUUUCAGAAUUUAUUGAUGAUUGAUAGGUAGUAGGGUUCUACGUAGUGGCUGGUGGCCUUAUGCCUACCCGCACCCUAGGACCGUCGCGGCGGCCCGCCGGGAACGGGGCGGGGGUCGUGAU
rnacentral:lncRNA from 1 species